rnacentral:rRNA from 1 species
GUUUUCAGUCAUACCACCUUCAACAGGCUGGAUCUCUUCUAAUCUUUGAAGCUAAGAGGGUUAGGCCUACUUAGUACUUGGAUGGGAGACAUUAUGUAUGAUAACUUUGAGAAAUUAGGCCUUUCAAAACC